UACGUAGGGUGCAAGCGUUAAUCGGAAUUACUGGGCGUAAAGCGUGCGCAGGCGGUUGUGCAAGACAGAUGUGAAAAUCCCCGGGCUUAACCUGGGAAUUGCAUUUGUGACUGUACGGCUAGAGUGUGUCAGAGGGGGGUAGAAUUCCACGUGUAGCAGUGAAAUGCGUAGAGAUGUGGAGGAAUACCGAUGGCGAAGGCAGCCCCCUGGGAUAACACUGACGCUCAUGCACGAAAGCGUGGGGAGCAAACAGG
rnacentral:rRNA from 1 species